rnacentral:misc_RNA from 1 species
GAUGAAGAACGUGGCGAAAUGCGAUAAGUAAUGUGAAUUGCAGAAUUCAGUGAAUCAUCGAAUCUUUGAACGCACAUUGCGCCCGCCAGUAUUCUGGCGGGCAUGCCUGUUCGAGCGUCAUUUCAACCAUCAAGCCCCCGGCUUGUGUUGGGGACCUGCGGCUGCCGCAGGCCCUGAAAACCAGUGGCGGGCUCGCUAGUCACUCCGAGCGUAGUAAUACAUCUCGCUCAGGGCGUGCUGCGGGUUCCGGCCGUUAAAAAGCCUUAUUUACCCAAGGUUGACCUCGGAUCAGGUAGGAAGACCCGCUGAACUUAAGCAUAUCAAUAAGCGGAGGA